CCAUGUGGGGAUCGACUAUAAGAAGGAAAGAAAAGAAAUAAAGGAGAGAAAGGAGAAAAGGAAGUAGGACUUUCCUUUUCAGCAAGAAGGUUUUUUUUUUGGAAAAGUGGGACUGGCAGCACGCAUAAAAGGAGAGGAGAUUCUUGGAUUUGCGAGGUAGAAAAGCGCAGAAGAGCAGAAGAAAGGCGAUUGCAAGCGAGGUUCUUCUAGGAUGUGCCAGAAUUUGAAAGCAAUCCGGGUCAUUCACCUUCAGUAACAGUUCUAAUUAGUUCUACAGAGGGAUGCAUGAAUCUGAAAGCGAGGAAAACAUUGACAGCGUUGAUUCAAAAAUUUUGAGGACUAGGGAAAGAGAAGGGUUCUAAGGACAAGGUCGUGAAACGUGAAAUAUGUGCAGUGGUCACAAAGGGAACACCAACUGAAGGCAAGAUGCUAUCAGCCAAUCCUGAUGUUUCUUAUCUUGUGGCGGUAACUGAAAGCUUUCAGUUUGAAGAACGCAGUUUUGGUGUUUGUGUAGUUGAUGUUGCUACACGCAGGAUUAUUCUUGGACAGUUCAGGGAUGAUUUAGAGUGCAACACCCUGUGUUGUCUAUUAUCUGAGCUAAGGCCUGUAGAGAUUAUAAAACUAGCUAACCUUCUCAGUCCUGAAACUGAGAGAGCACUGAUGAGACAUGCAAGAAGCCCCUUAGUAAAUGAACUGGUUCCGAUCUCAUAAUUCUGGGACUCUAAGAAAACUGUUUCUGAAAUCAGGAGUGUCUACAUAUGUUUCAAUGAUCUAUCAGUUUCUGGAUCUUUAAAUGAAGCAAAUUUGAGUGUUAAGGAUUCUUUUGUUGAAGAAGAUCCCUUGGGCCUACCUGACAUUUUGUCCAAGUUGGUGAAUGCAGGCGAGAGUGGCAGCCUUGCACUUUCAGCCCUUGGGGGCACUCUUUUCUAUCUAAAGCAGGCUUUUAUGGAUGAAACAUUGCUUAAAUUUGCUAAGUUUGAGUUAUUUCCGUACUCUGGUGUUAGUGAUAUCUUUCAUAAGCCAUACAUGGUUCUUAAUGCUGCUGCCCUGGAACCUUGAGAUUUUUUAGAACAGUAGAAAAUGAGACUCAUCAGGGACUCUCUAUGCACAACUAAAUCACUAUGUGACUACAUUUGGUAAGAGGUUGCUGAAGAUCUGGCUGCUGCUGAAACAACAAGCGCAGCUUCACAUGCUGCAGCUGCAUCGAAUUUACAGGCAGGGAGGUUACCUGGAAGGUAUGGAUUCAUCGAUGAAAGAACAAGGCAAACAAUUCCUGAAGCAGCUUCUGAUGGUUCAGUUGUCCUGGGAACUCCUAUAGCUCCUCCUGUAAAUGGUGAUAUGUAUACUGAUAUAAGCACUGAAAAUGCAAUGCUCCAGGGAUCCCGGAGACUGAGUAAAGGUGUUGAGUACUUGGUUGAGGCCUCAGCAGCCGAAGCUGAGGCUAUAAAUGCCACAUUAGCUGCUGCAAAAGCUCAGCAAGGUAAUGGAGAAGUUGAACUACCAGACCAGGACACACUUGAUUUAAUGGCCCACCCUUCAAUACACAUGAGGUUCAAACUGAUACAACAGAUAAAUCAGUCUCUGUACGGAAUAUUUCUAAUGAUUCCCUUGUAGUCUCUGAUGGGAAAAUGACAACCGGUGAAAACUCCGAACUAAUUAAGAACCUUCAGUUUGGAUUGACUUCUUUCCAGAACUUAUUGACAAGCAUCUCAAAUUUGGCAUCCAUAUCUUCGAAGCUGAGCAAUACUUCUCAAAUAAAUCAUUUUCCAGUAAUGGCAUAUUUUAAUUCGGAGUUCGGCUUGAAGAAUUUUCGUAUCCCUGAUUAUAUUCUUAUUCCAGAAUCAGAGGUCAGGUUAUUUCUUAUGUACUCGAGUGUCCAGUGAUAGUGUUCAUCAACUCCAAAAGCAGAGGAUCCAACAGGUAAGGGCAAUACGUAGUGAUUCAGAUGUGUAUUUCCUAGAUAAUCCCUUUGGUGUAGUAGAUGCACAUGUUGCUGUCGUUCUUCUAAGAGAAUUGAACUGAGUAGCAUACCGGCAUGUUGUUACGGCCCAUGAGCAUCAGAAGAACAUGAAUUCUCAUCAUCUACUCGUCGAGCAACCUCUACGCUCUCUAUAGGGCUGUUGGUUGAUACAAAUCUGGGAACAUCACCUCCUAACACUUAUAGACCACCCCUUGCACCAAUUCCAUAUGAUGUAGAUUUAAGACAUCCUCAAACUCCACCAGCUGCCGGAAAUGCCUUCAAUGUGAAUCUUAAGAUCCAUAUCUAGGAUCAGUUUUCUUUGUUCAUUCCCCGAGAUAUAUGAAAGUUUACAUGGCCGGUUUACAUUUGAUCAAAAGCUUAUCUGAACAGUACUUGAGUCACCUAUGCAGCCAUGCUGGACACUGAAAACUUUGAACUUGCAGGCCACAAUUCCACUUAUCCAUGGUAGAGUUUCAAUCAUUCAACAGAUACAAUACUACACUCCCAGAUGCUGAAUCCAGACAACAAACUUGUUGCUCGUUCCUCGGAGAUAAACCGCUCAAGUGGAAGAUCCAUGAUUAUAUUGCAUACUAACCAGAAUCCCGUGCUCUACACCGCUGAUUUCUCAAUGGAUUCUGCAAAUCCAUACUUCGAAUCAUAUAGCACAAGAAAGUUGCUUUGAUGCUCCUUCAAAAUUUUGUCUAAAAGAAUCUUCAAGCGAACCUUUGGUCUCAGAGUUUCCAUUGCAGUUAGCUAAAAAAAGAAAUUAGAGAGUCCUAAACCAGCAGUAGAUCCAUCAGAACCAAGUUCAGUUUAGAGAGGCCUGAUCCUGGCUUACCGACUUCAGAAGAAGGAUGGUUUGAAUCUGUUUUCACUCGUACAAACUGUUGAAGAUAUGACUUCAAGACACGCUCUUGCAUCCUUACAGAGAGAAUUGAUUCAACCUCUGGACCACUUAGCAUUGGAACUCGCUCUAGAAGAAAAUGAGCUUUAAAGCACUUGCCAAAAUUCAGAAGGGGCACCACACACAUACAGCUUGGAGAUGUUGCAACAGUCCGUAUAUUUAUUUGAAAAACUACAUCAGUGAAUUUCCCUAUGCGAGUUAAAGAAGAUCAGUUAGUACUACUGAAAAGGCAAAAGAUGAAGUUCGUGAUGAGCUGGAAAAUUUAGAUUCUGAACUACAGAAAAAUCCAGAAGUGCACUAUAAGAAGAUUGAUAAAUCAGAUGAACUUCUGAAUGAAGAUUUGAAACUUGAGAAUGAGUGGCAGCAAGUGGGCAUGUGCUCCGAAAAGAAUAUGGCCAGUUCUUCUCCAAACAUGCUAAUAAUGUACAAAGGUCUCUUCACACAACCAUCAGCAAUCCAGCUACAGCUAAACCUCCCAGGCUCCACUCCAUCAUAUCUACCUUGCUACACAUACCUCAUCCUCCUUUUGCUUCUUUGAUUGGGAAUUUAUUGUUUUAAAUUGAAUUUUUAAAUCCAUCUUUAGAGCCUUUCUAGCCACUAAAAAUCCAGAUUUUAAUAAAUAUGCUGCCACUUUCCUCCAGGCAUGCGUUUUUACUAUUUUAUUUUAUUUUCAACUAUUUUCAUGAUUUUCUCAAUUUUCAACAAGCACAAAUAAACUUCAUAGUUCCAAGUAAUGGGACUAAUUGAAAUCAAUUUGUGCAAAAGCAAUUUGGACCUUGGUAGAGGGGGUUCGAUAUUCUUGAUAUCUUCUUUGAUAUUGAUUCAAAUGAGGGGAUUGUUUGAUACUUGGUUGAUUUCAAUUGUUCCCUAUGAUAUAUAUGAGAAUUGUUUAUACUUGUUAUUAAGCUAA